CAUGCUUACAUCAGAAUAUGACUUGUGGGCAUAUACCAGCCUUGACUCCAACCAUUAGUUCAUCCUCUGUUCUUUCUCCAGUUAUGACCCCUGCUGGCAUUUAUGGCUCUGAACUUGCCCCGCCAGCUGUGUGAACAGUUUAAGUUUAGUGAGCAAUAAACAAACAGCAACAGAGAAUUAAAUGUAACUUGUGAUUUAGAAUGAGAUCAACAUUUCUGUUGUUUCAGCUCUUUUUUCUUCUCACCCUCAACUUUGUCAACUAAAAAAUAAUGAAUUACCCUCUUCUGGGGUGAUUUGCAGACUUUUGCUCUGAAGCUGGGAAAGGAAAUGACAUUGAGUAAGAAGAGCGAGCACAAAUGGAUUUCCUAAUACGUGCAAGUCCCAGACCAACAGCCUCAGCUUUUGGCAAAGGACGAAAUCAACGGUGCAUCUUUUUUGGGUUCCCCAACAGUAUGAGAGGGAAAGAAGCAGUGCUGGCAGACCUGUCUGCCUCCUGACUGCUUGGCUUGACUCUAUGACUACUUUGUUGGUUUGUACUCGUGCCAGAGUCUCCUUCAAAUUGCUCAUCACUGCUCCCAAAUGAGCUGCUGCUUAUACUUCUAAAAUGAGGGAUUUGAGUAAACUACAGGUCAUGUCAAUUCAAACUGCUGGGAAUGACACAAGUAGGAAGGAGGGAAUGGUGGAUCCCACCCCAAAAUGAAUUUAUCAGAGCAGGAGAUGAAAAAAAGAGAAAGGAAAA